CCUACGGGAGGCAGCAGUGAGGAAUAUUGGUCAAUGGGCUUACGCCUGAACCAGCCAAGUCGCGUGAGGGAAGACUGCCCUAUGGGUUGUAAACCUCUUUUGUCAGGGAGCAACGCCGGCUACGUGUAGCCGGACUGAGAGUACCUGAAGAAAAAGCAUCGGCUAACUCCGUGCCAGCAGCCGCGGUAAUACGGAGGAUGCGAGCGUUAUCCGGAUUUAUUGGGUUUAAAGGGUGCGUAGGCGGAAUGCCAAGUCAGCGGUAAAAUCGCGGGGCGAAACCUCGCUCCGACGUUGAACCUGGCAUUCGUGAGUAGGCGAGAAGUAUGCGGAAUGCGUGGUGGAGCGGUGAAAUGAAUAGAGAUCACGCAGAACUCCGAUUGAGAAGGAAGCAUACCGGCGCCCAACUGACGCUGAAGCAAGAAAGCGUGGGUAUCGAACAGGAUUAGAUACCCUAGUAGUC
rnacentral:rRNA from 1 species